CCCGACCGUAGCUGAUACCUUGACGUGGUGGUCGGGCUAAUCUAUCGUGAUGACCCAACGGAGCUGUAUUGGCUGGAACAUAUGUUUCUGUAGGUCCUACCAUGCCAGGCAGGUCUACUGGGGAACGGUAAGACUAAAAGCAGC
rnacentral:ribozyme from 1 species